rnacentral:rRNA from 1 species
UACGAAGGGGGCUAGCGUUGUUCGGAAUUACUGGGCGUAAAGGGCGUGUAGGCGGCCCGUUAAGACAGGUGUGAAAUUCCUGGGCUCAACCCAGGACGUGCGCCUGUGACUGGCGGGCUUGAGGCCGGGAGAGGAUGGUGGAACUCCCAGUGUAGAGGUGAAAUGCGCAGAUAUCAGGAAGAACACCCGUGGCGAAGGCGGCUCUCUGGGACGGUACUGACGCUGAGACGCGAAAGCGUGGGGAGCGAACAGG